rnacentral:misc_RNA from 1 species
UUAAUGUUUUGUAUUGAUUCAGACACAAAUACAUCGCUGCAUAAAUGCGGCGCCGAAGCGCCGAAGCACAUUUUCGCUUCCACAUGUUUGAGGGUCGAAGGCCAAAGCCAUUCAGUAAUGAUCCCUCCGCAGGUUCACCUACGGAGA